rnacentral:rRNA from 1 species
CCUACGGGUGGCAGCAGUGAGGAAUAUUGGUCAAUGGGCGGGAGCCUGAACCAGCCAAGUCGCGUGAGGGAAGACGGUCCUAUGGAUUGUAAACCGCUUUUGCCGGGGAGCAAAAAGCGGUACGUGUACCGCAUCGAAAGUACCCUGAGAAAAAGCAUCGGCUAACUCCGUGCCAGCAGCCGCGGUAAUACGGAGGACGCGAGCGUUAUCCGGAUUUAUUGGGUUUAAAGGGUGCGCAGGCGGCGAGUUAAGUCAGCGGUAAAAUUUCGGGGCUCAACCCCGGCGAGCCGUUGAAACUGGCAUGCUAGAGUGGGCGAGAAGGAAGGGGAAUGCGUGGUGUAGCGGUGGAAUGGAUAGAUAUCACGGAGAACUCCGAUUGCGAAGGGAGCACACCGGGGGCCAACUGACGCUCAGGCACGAAAGCGUGGGUAUCGAACAGGAUUAGAUACCCGUGUUAGUC